AAAAAAGAGAAAAGGACUGGGGAUGUGACAGGUGGAACCACCUGGAGCUGAGCAAUGCUCCCCGCUGUCCUCUCCCAUGGCCACAGCCAGCCCUGCCACCUGCUGGCCAUUCAAGCCGAGCUCUGCCGCUGCUCAGCCACUAGGGUGCAGCUUCGCUUCUUUGCUUUUGGAAGAUCAGCCUCCUAAUUAAAGGACUCCUGCCAUCAUGCUCAACACUCCCAGGGGUUCCAGGCAGGAGUGCAGGACAGUCACUGCGCUCCAGCAGGGGUGGGGCAGGGGCAGUGAGGUGGCCCGGACCGGGCCCUGGCUCCCAUCCCCCUUGAUCUUGAGGUUUGAGUGACCUCCCCCCGCCCUGGCCCUCAUUUGCACGUCCAUACAGUGACCACUGUCAUUGGUGUGUUCCCUGAUCCAGAAUGAGGCACAGCCGGGUCUAGAGGCUGGCAAAGGGCAGGUGGGACCUGAACAUGCUCCUGGCCCGCCAAGGGCAGCUCUGUCUUCCCAGUCCCCUGCAUCCUUGCCAGUCCUGGACACUGCAUCACCUGCCCACAAGAAGGGUCUCUCCAGCCACUGUCCCUGGGUGUGGGGCCCCACAGAGAGACAAGGAGCUGGGGUGCUGGAGGGAGAGUCUUAGAAGAGGGCUGGCCUCCUCACCUCUGGGCCUUCCUGGAGGCUCUCCCUCACUCAUCUCUGGGGUUUUGGCUUUGUGCCUGGUCAGCGGGGUGGAGAGGCGAGGUCAGAGAACUGAGAGCCGGCCAACCAGGCUCAGUGGCACAUGCCUACAAAUCCCCGCACGUUGGGAGGCUGAGACAGGAGGAUCUCCAGGUGGGGGCCAGCCUCAACAACUUAGUGAGACCCCGUCUCAAAACAAAAUGAAAAGGAUUGAGAUGCAGCUCAGUGGUAGAGUGCUUGUCUACACGUGCCAGCCCUUGGAAUCCGCCUGGGGGAAGACAAUAGAAAAGAGCUGGAAGCCGAACACAGGUCCCAGACCUGACUUCUCACAGGUCAGGCUGUUCUCAGGCCCCGCACCAGCAGCGGUAGGAAAAAAAAGCCUAGCACAGGCAGGAGGGGGCCUGAGCGGCCACUGAGUGUCGAGAGCCCAGCACCGGGCCAUGGCGGGUGGGGGCAUCUGGCAGAGUCUCAGCUCCAGGGUGAAGGUCAGGAGAGGAGCUGAUCCCGGGGUCCUGUUCCUGAGCUCAGGGGCUGAUCGUGCAGAAGCGUGUGUCCAGGUGCAGCAGAACCCUGGUGACACCCACCUGCUCUGGGCCUUGCGCUUCCAGCCUGAGGGAUGGAAGUGAGUCACACCGACCUCAAGAGCCAGGCUGCCUAGUGACAGUGCCCUGGGGACUCGCGUUUGAGGACCUGAGUCAUGCCCUCCUUCUGCAGGGAGGUUCUGCUAAGGCCCCCUGACCCCCGCCCGCCCUUGACCUCACCGCUUUUGCGAUUCCUGUGUGUUCUGACCACGACCCUCCUCCCUGGCUUCUGACUCAGCCGCCCUGACCGGGGGAUCCUGUCUGCGUCUGGGUCAAGAACGGCCAGCCAGUUCCCCCCAGUCCCCAUGCCCACUAACUAAUCACGGCUGUCUGCAGCUUUGGGUUGACUCAGUGGGGAAGUGAUGCAAUUGAUUGGUCCUGUCUGCCCAGGCCCAGGGAAGGGGAGCUGGGCUGGGUCUGUAGGCCUGACGAUGGGCUGUCUGCUGGGAUCUGACCUCACUGCCACCUCUCAGCCACGGCUGCCUGCUUCCCUCCCACUCAGGCCAGGGCUGUGUGGGGAAGUGGCCGGCCCUGGGAGCCAACCCUAGAAGCCGGGCUGGGACCUGGCUUGCCCUUGGACUAGGCAGCUGCAGUGCUUUGGAGGUGAUAUCAGGGGAGAAGGGGGCCUUGCUCAGGGCCAGCGAGGCUCCUGACAUGCCUGACAGAAGAGAAGAGCAGCGUGGGCCCGUCCAGGACACAGGGUCCCAUUCCAGGGAGGACGUGAGUGACCUGAGAGAGGCCUUUGGGGUAAGGCAAGGAUCAGGCGCUCAAGGGAGGACACAGGCCACCUGCGAGGGAGGGACAGCGCCGCAGGCUGGGGGCUCCUGUCCUGGCUGACAGUUCUGGGCUGGCGUGGGGAGGAGCCAGGGCCCAGCUCCUCAGUCUCUCUCCAUGUCCCUGCGCUGGGCGCUGUCCUGACUUACAGGCUGGACCAGGGCGGGUCGUGCAGGGCCUUCUGCACCCCGGUGGCUCGUGAGCGGAUCCUCUAAGACUUGGUCUCUAUCUUUAUCCUAAAUCCCGAUUGCACCCGCCCCCCAACUUUGCUCCCUUGAUCUUAAAGAGUUGGUGGGGUGAGGGUCCCCCUUCCACGGAGGCUUCAGGCUGACCAGGGGCAGUGACCCUGCCUUGGGAGGGACCCAGGGUCACAUCCUGUCCGGCUGUUCAUGAAAUGGGAGCCAGGUGGGCGUCAGCUGCGGUCACCCCGUGCGAGGGGACACUAGAACUCACCGUGGAUGGUGCCGGACUUCCCUCCAUCUCCCUGCCCGCCUUCCCAGCUUCCAGUGACCCCAGUUCUCCAUUUACACCGACUUCUCCUGGAGCAUCCAGGACGGAGGAUUCGCAUCCUGGCAAAGCGCUACAGACAGAAGCUUGCUCAGCUCCUGGCAGCCAGCCCAGGAGCAGAGACAGAGGAAGGACCAGAGGCCACGUCCUCAGGGCAUGCCCAGCAUGACCUGCCGCCUCCCCUCUGGCCCACGGAGGUUCAGCAAGCUUCCACCUUCCUGUACCACCAGGCUGCGAACCCGGCAACGGACCAACCUCCUGGUGAGGCUGGAGCCCUCCUCAUCCAGGGACCUUCCAAAGCCCCACCUCUGAACGCUGCUGCUCUGGGGACCAAGCCACAACAACCCGGGAGACCCAUUUGGGAUUUUCAUUUCCAGAAACGUCAUAUAAUAAAUUUGUGUUAUUUUAA